rnacentral:rRNA from 1 species
UUGACCUCUGAAUCAGUAGGA